CGCGUAGGAAUCUACCUAGUAGUGGGGGACAACUCGGGGAAACUCGAGCUAAUACCGCAUACGCCCUACGGGGGAAAGCGGGGGACCUUCGGGCCUCGCGCUAUUAGAUGAGCCUGCGUUGGAUUAGCUAGUUGGUGGGGUAAUGGCCUACCAAGGCGACGAUCCAUAGCUGGUCUGAGAGGAUGAUCAGCCACACUGGAACUGAGACACGGUCCAGACUCCUACGGGAGGCAGCAGUGGGGAAUAUUGCACAAUGGGCGCAAGCCUGAUGCAGCCAUGCCGCGUGUGUGAAGAAGGCCC
rnacentral:rRNA from 1 species